rnacentral:rRNA from 1 species
UCGCCUGUUUAUCAAAAACAUAGCUUUUUGAAAAAAAAUAAAAGGUUUUUCCUGCCCGGUGGUUUUAGACUAAACGGCCGCGUUUGCGCUAAGGUAGCAUAAUAACUUGCCUCUUAAUUAGGGACUAGAAUGAAUGGAUUUUCGAAAAAUAUCUGUUUCGAGCUUUUGUAUAAAAAUUAUUAUUUGAAUGAAAAAUUUCAAAUUUUGUAAAAAGACCAAAAGACCCUAUCGAGCUAUAAUGAGUUAUAUUUAUAUAUACCUUUUUGAAAAUUGGGGUGAUUGAAGAUAAGUUUCAUCUUUAAGUAGAUAUGAAAUAUAAUUUUACCUAGAAUAUACAUAAAAAGUUACCGUAGGGAUAACAGGCUAGUCAAUUUUGAAAGUUCACAUUUACAAAUUGUUUUGGCACCUCGAUGUUGGCUUAGGAA